UAGGAACGGGAAAUUUACCAAGUAGGAAGUUGAGCCACAAUCCAACCACCAGGCUCUGAUCACUCGCAGCAGUUGGCUUUGCAGCCUAGACCCCAACCUCCCGAGGCAGGGAAGGCAGGCGGACUGGUGGAAGCAGCCCCCUCGCCCAACCCGCCCUGGAGCCAGAGGAGCCGCCCUCCCGCCACCCAACCCCCACGCCGACCCGGGAAGCGCACAAACGGGCGGUGCGACUACCCGUUCGCGGCGACAGCAGCAGCAGCACCCUCAGGCCCUCCCGUGAGACGGCGGCAGCUGCAGCAGCGGCGCUGGGAAAGGCGGGAAUGGCUGGACCUGUUACUGCUUUAAACAAUAGAAUGUGGCAAAACGACUGCCAGUUCCAGGCUGAAGCCAUAAGAAGUCUUUGCAGUGACAACACUGAAAUUUGCUGGAACCUGUACUCAGGGAAAACAGAAAUGAUUAAGAAGCCCCCCCACCUGUUUGUUUUCUGGGAAACAGCUUACCACAAAGAACCGCCCUUCUUGGUAUGACUUAGAUGGGACUCUGUCCACUCUUUCUCAAAAGACUGGCAGAUGACUCCUUGUUUACCUGUGACAAGACCAAAAACAGAUCUUUCCCUUUUUGCUUGAACCUGUUAACAAGGUCAGGCACAAACCCUUCAACAUCCUUUGUCUCAUGGAUGAUUAGCUGAGAUUAGAACUGUUUGUUGCCUUGAAAUUAUCUAGACACAGACAAACAUGCCCUGGCUGACUAAGACAUCUCCUGAUUACAAAACAAUUCCAGCUGAUGCAGGCUGAGGAGUCCAAGGACCCAGAGGGGUUCCCUCAAGACUAGCCAAGAAGGUCUUUGUCUUUGCACAGGAUAGAAAUCAAAUGCAAGCCAAGAGGAGAGUUUAUUGAAGACAUAGAGUGCAGACAGAGCAUCUGGGAGAUGCUUUACUUGGGGUCUGUUGUUUUUAUUGAGGACUGUGGUCUUGUGCACAUGUCUUCUCAGACAUCCAGGAACAAAGAUGAGUGUUUAAAUGUUUUCCAUAAGUCAUUUACACCCUGGAGCCAGGGAUUUGGGGAAAAUGUUCAUGAAGACCCCACCUGGUCACUCCUUAGAUGUUACCUAUUAUGCUGGAAGUCUCCAAAAAAAUCAUUAACUCCUUGACCUUUGCAAGGAAGAUGUAUACAUUAUCUGUACUAUAAGGCAUGUGUAGGGUGGGGAUGUAGGUCCUAGUAAGAAAAGAGGCAGCAAUAAAGCCAUCCUUCAUGGGGUUCCUUCAGUUUCCCUAUCUCACAACUGUAAGUCAUCCCACUGAUAACCUGUCUACUGCUCCCUAUAAAAGUACAAGGCAAAGCCCUGCUGAGACACUCUGAUCUUCAAAUCUAGGUACUCUCUCUAUUGCAAUAGUCUGCAUAAAAUCUAUUUCCUUGUUCGUUCAGUUUUGUUUUUGACAACAGCUUCUGUUUUGCCCUUUCGAAGAAGAACCAUGAAAGAAAUCUAACUACUCCAAGACUGCCAUGCUGUCAGAAGUCUCACCUAGCCAUUUCAAGAGGCCAAAUAGAGGAAAACUUGAGGACCUGGGCUAAUCGCCCCAGCUGUGCUCCCAUUGGACACAACACAACCUACCACGCAUGUGAGUGAGUGAGCCAUCUUAGAAGUGGAUUCUCCAGCCCCAUCAAGUUGCCCCAGCUGAUGCCACAUGGAACAGAGAUGAGCUAUUCUCCACCAUGCCCAAAUUGUAGAAUUAUGGACAAAUAAAUAAAAGUGUCAUGUUAAACCCCUCA